ACAUACAUACCACAACGCUACAGAGGAAGACAGGUGCGGCAACCAUGAACCACGGUCUCCUGAUAACCGUCGCCGUCGUCAUCGUCUGCGUUGCAGAUGUGUAUGCGGUCAAGUAUGACCCCUCUCAUUUACCAUAUCCUUGUGACCCAGAUUAUGGUGAACGCUGCAUUCCAGAAUCACAGAAACACAACUGUACCAACGUUCUUGACAUCGAAUGGGCGUUUUGUGAAGAUCAACAUGAAUUUUGUUGCAAGGACUUUCUAACCAGAUCCCAUAGAACACUGUAGCAGACCGGGAUUCUUGUAGUAAUGUUUACCCAUGCCACAGCUCGAAGUCUCUAUAAACCAUCUGAUGUCAAUGCUAGUUCCUUGGUGCUUUCAGACUAUAUAAAUGUUCCACACUGUACACCCUAAGAAGAAAGAAAUGUUAUUGUAGAAAUGGGUGGACCUUCAACCUUUAUGGACCUUGCUAUUAAAGCAAUUUCUCCCAAUUGAAAAAAUGAUUGACUUUGUAUUUUCAUAUUGUUGUGUUCCGGGCGUAUGCAAGCAAAUCGAUCAAAAUAAAAUGUGCAUCGUA